UUUUUUUUUUUUUUUUUUUUUUUUUUUUUGCUUCUUAAGGCCGCACCCACAGCAUAUGGAGUUUCCCAGGCUAGUGGUCUAAUUAUCUGAGCCAUAGCCAAUGGCCUACACCACAGCCACAGCAGCUUGGGAUCUGAGCCACAUCUGUGACCUACGCCACAGCUUUGUGGCAACACCAGAUGCUUAACCUGCUGAGCAAGGCCAGAGAUCGAACCGGCAUCCUCAUGGAUACUAGCAGGUUUUUAACCCAUUGAGCCACAACAGGAGCUCCAGGGACCCUUGUGUGCACUCAGAGGUUUCAGUCCAAGACUUCUCUUGGAGUUCCCAUCGUGGCACAGCGGAAACGAAUCCGACUAGGAACCACGAGGUUGUGGUUUCGAUCCUUGGCCUCACCUAGUGGGUUAAGGAUCUGGCGUUUCCAUGAGCUGUGGUGUAGGUAACAGACGCAGCUCGGAUCUGGCAUUGCUGUGGCUCUGGUUUAGGCCGGAAGCAACAGUUCCCAUUAGACCCCUAGCGUGGGAACCUCCAUAUGCCACGGGUGCCACCCUAAGAACACACACACACAAAAAGACUUCUCUUAAUGGAUUUCGGCAGUUAGAAGCCCUGGUGGCACGGCUUCCCACUGUAUACCCUCCUUAAAUUUCCAAGGCUCAAAACAGUCCAGAAAUGGAGGCAUGAAGCAAAGGUCAGAACCACCCCCAGGACAAGCAGUCACUUGUCUUCUUAACCCAAUGACAUUUCUGCUAACUUGGGACCCUUUGUAAAAGAAAACUUCUCUGGAAGACAGCUGAAGUGAGGGUGUUAGGGAGAGACAGUGUAUGUCAUAGAAAGAGCAAGAACUAUGAAAAAGAUCCAGGUUUAAGUCCUUGCAACUGGCUGUAGGAUUUCCGACACGUGGUUGAAAUUUUCUGAGCCUCUUUUGCCUAGAGUCAAUGCAAUCAGGAAAAACAUGAAUCUGCAACAUAUACAGCUAGUAGAGAACUAGGAAAGGAAUGCUUUUCCAAGAGCUGGGUUCUUCAUCCAUAAAAAUCAGAACCAAAACACCCCCCCCCUUUAAUCUUCUCAGCAACCUCCUAAAGCUCAGAGAGGUCCAACAGCUUACCAAGGUCACACAGCUCAUGUUCAGAACCCAGAUGGAACCCAGUUCUGAUUCCCAAAUCACAUAUCCCAAUUCUCAGACUUCCCAAAGUGAAAUGAGACACAUAUGUGGUCUUUGCUUUGAGUGAACUCAAGUUUUGAGAGGAGUUAUGUUAACAUCCAAAAGAAUGGGUCUCACCCCAUAUAUAUUCAAUAAAGACUUCAUAGAGGAGGUGAGACAUUGGGGCCAGGCUUUGAAGAAUAGGGUUGAUAUGCCCCCUUUUCCCUUGAUUACUAGAAACCCUGACCCAAGGCUGUGGCUCCCCAGGUGCAUGUAUAAAGGACCUGGCAACAUCUGUGAUACGUGCGCUUACCUGCCACUGAUCCCUUCUCCUUUCCUACCUGGAUCUUUUCUUUGCUGCACUGUUUCACUUGAGAUGUACUUUAUCUUGUUAUCUUGAGUGUAUCUCUGUAAGUGAGCUGCCUUUGUGUGCUCUAUAGCAAGGUAGAGGAUGGGUAAAUAAAUAAUUGACAGCACACAGCCAGGUCCCUACUUGGCUUAAGUGCUGAACCUCAGUGUAGUAGGGCAAGUGUAGACAGGCCAAGCUGAGACACUGCUUGGCUAAUGAGCCUCACUUUUAUGAGGUCUCUGCCUUUAAAGCCCUCUCAUUCCCACAGUGGGACCACUUCUCUCCCACACUGAGGUAGGUGAUUUAGUCAUCGAGGAAGCCUGGUGUGGUCAGCUGGGGCUUGGGGGAGCAAGUAGGCCAGCCUGCUGAGCCCACUUGGAGGGCAGCCCCCAAUUCCAGGGAAGGUGCUCCUGGCAGGUCACAGCUCAGCAGGUGCCCUAUCUGACCCUGUGCCUGCCCUCUGCUGAAGUUUCCUGCACAAUCCCCAGGGUGCUCCAGCACCAGGUCAUUGCUCUUAUCAGACCUCAUCCUAGAGCCCAAAGGCCUAGGGUCAACCCCAAGGCCUUCAGCUGGGCAGGAGAUGAGCACAGUGGCCCAAUCAGUGGGUCAGAACGGAAAUAUGCACCGUCACCUAAAGGACGUACAUGGGCUCCCAGGCAGGAGAGGCCGAAAACCCCCAUGACUUCCAAAGGAAGCUGAGUCAUAGUGGGAGACACAGGGGAGCCAGCCAACCUUAUUAAUUGGAAAAAAAAAAAAAAGAGCGAGAGAGAAGUUCANAAGUCAAACCAAGGGACGCUACCUAUGGAGAAGAUUGAGCCAAACAAUUUGUAGUAUCUACAGCCCCAUGGGCAGCACUGGCCCUGCUAUAUGAUAAAUAAUUGAGGUCUUAUCCGGAUGUCAUUAGACAGUUCAUGUAUCUAUUUUUCCUCAUUCAUAUUUCAGGUUUAUCACACAACUUUGCAUGCAGGAGUGGGUUUUCCCACUAGGUCUGCUUUCAGCAAAAGCAGGAGCUUGUUAUUGCCAAAAGGAGCAUUCCACCCCUGCAAACGUGAUGUAGCAAGUUACAUAAUAAAUUCCUUCAAUCUCAUGAGCAGAGUCUCCCCUGAGUCACAGAUGUGCUGCGGGAGACCUCACACAGUAGAUGCCCAAGCCUAAAAGCCCACAGGAUUAUGGAGAAUUCACCAAAGGGGUGGAUGACAAAUGGUGGGACCCUUUGGCAGCCAGGCCAUUUGGGCUCAUUGGGUAGGUCAUACAGCUGCCAAGAAGACCACUCUUUCCUAGCUUGAAACUCUGCUUCUCCCUGCUGAUCCUAAAGGUGCCAGCCCCAGGAGGGCAUGUCUGUACUCCCUACUGUCUGUCUGCCCAUAGACCUCCUUUGUCUGGGUGGACUUUUGUGACCUGCUCUGUUAUCUGGACUGCCCACCACACUCCCUGGGGAGCAAGCACCCCUGGGCAAGACUCACCCUUCCCCAGCUGGGCCAGACACUAACCACCAGCCAACACCCUGUGGGUGAGAAUAAUUACCCAGGUCCUCUCCAACCAACCCAUCCCACUGCCUAACCAAACUCAGACCCAUACGUCCCCCUCCCACUCAGCUCUCUGGUCACUGUGACCCCGCCCCACUCAGACUGUAUUCUUGGGUAACUAACUUAUUAAAACUUUAUAAUAUAGAGCAUCACUUGAACUAAAUCAAGAAGCAAGAAGGGGGAAUUGAAAGAAUAUGGUAUUUUGUGUUGGGUAAAGAUCUUUUUAUUCACUCCUUGAGGGAACAGGGAAAUGGGAAGGUUCACUCACUGCUGGUGGGAAUUUGAAUUUUUACGGCUUUCCUGGAGGAUAAUUUGGCAAGGGAGUACACUGAAAUAUCUUGAAAACCCAAAUGCACUUCUUUUUUCUGUUUUAGUUGCACCCAUGGCAGAUGGAAGUUCCUGGGCUAGGGAUCAAAUCCCAGCUGCAGCUGCAACCUACACCCCAGCUGUAGCAACACCAGAUCCUUAAUCCAUUGCAUUGGGCUGGGGAUCAAACCCAUGUCACCUCAGAGAUACGGCCAGGUCAUUAACCCACUGUACCACAGCAGGAACUCCCCAAAUGCACUCUAAAUCAUCAAUUCCAUUUCUAGGAAUUGAUCCUAAGUAAGUAAAGAUAUACACAAAGUUUAAGCUGCAAGAAUAUUUAUCAUGGGAUUUUUUAACACAUUUUUUAAGCAGUGAAAAACUAGAUAUAAGCUAAACAUUUAACAACAAAUGAUUGAUUAAAUAAAUGACACAUUCAUAUAAUGAAAUACUAUGUGGUCUUUUUAAAUGAUACAGAAACACAGCUAUAGACUGAUAUUCAUCAUAUAUUGUUAAAUAGAAAAGCAGUUUACAAAUAUAUACAUGGGGGAAAAGUCUGAAAUGACAUAGCAAUGUGAUAAAAACUGUUAUUUGAAUGGUAAAAAUUUAUGGGUAAUUUUUAUCUUUCACCUAUCAGUACUUUCUCACUUUUGGACAAUGACUAUGCAUGACUUAAGUAAUAAAAAAUACAAUACAAUUUGUUUUUAAAGGCUAUGGACAGGGUCUUCAUACAGACUUGGGUUCAGAUUCCAGCUAGCCCGCUAAUUAGCAGUGCGACGGUGGAGACAUGACUUACAUUCCUUGAGCCUCAGUUUCCUUGUAUCCAAAAGGGUGAGACCAGCACCCUCCUCGGGAGGCAGUUGUGAGCAAUACACUAGGAAGCAUAACUACAGCGCCUGGCAUGGAGUACACACUGAAUGACAUUUUUCCCUUCCUUCCAGGAUAUCCAAAAAUACCUCAGAAUAACAAUUCACAAAGACAAGAUGGUCCGACACGUACCUCAUCACGUAAAAUGUAGGUUUGAAAAAUUAGGAGAGACUCAGAUUUAAUGCUCCAGGCUUCAUCCUUCGAGCCCCGAUCUCACCAACCCCACGCGGCGGCAACCCAGGAAAGACCCACAGUUAGCCAGUCUAUUGCGAUCCAGGUGGAAUCAGGCAGCUGUGUUACCCAGCCCCAUCAGCAGGUGGGGCCGGUCUCCUCCCUGUAUCUUCACACUAUUCCCACUGGCCAGCUGGUGGAAGGCUCUCCCACCAGAACUGGCUGCUAACACCCGGGACCCUCCUCUCUCAUCCCUACCUGCUUCCCACCUCAAGCCAGAGGCUGUUCACGUCUCACUCCUCCCUCUUUGGGCUGAGCCUUCUGGUUCAUGAAAUUGGUUGUCUAUCAGGAAUCCAGCUGGGAUCUGCCCUGCCUUCUCCCAUCUUCUCAUUCAUUCACACGACAAACGUACAAACUUUAUGAUGACCUCAUGGAUACUGAGCUUUGUGCUAGGAUAUAGGGAUAAAUUAGAGGCAUACCCCACUCUGGGCGGUGCGGGCUCAUAGCCUGGUGGAGACAACUGGCAGGAAAACAGAUCAUCACAC
rnacentral:lncRNA from 1 species